CCAGGCCCAACCACAGUCGUGUCCAAGAGGAGAGAGAGUCGGCCUAUCCUUUGGCCGACAUUAGAUAUAGGAUGAUUUCCUUUUCUAUGUUUUAGAUCUUUUCCUAUUUCAUGUUGUAUUAGGUUUUGGAUAAUUUCAUUUUUCCUAUUCCUUGUAACUCCUAUAUAAGAGAACACUUUGAUUGAGUAAUAAUAGAUAGACACACACGAAAAUAUUCAGUCUAAAAACCCUUCGUUCACAACACCCCUUACCCGAUAGGAUAAGGAAAAAAUUACACACAUGGACACUUUAUGUCUUUGCAAUGACACAAUAAGACACUUUCUACUUGGUACACACUUUAUGUGUGGUGUUUGACAGAUAUACCCUUUAACCACGUAGAGCAUUCUCGUUGAUUCACCAAAACAUUUACUAUUAUUUUUUCUAUUGAUUUAUAUUUUGAAUUUUAAAUUGUAAAAUCAAAAGCACUUUCUCAAUUGAGUUGCUAAAUCCCUAACCCCAUUAUGUCUCGUUCCCAAAGACGACGAUUCAAUGUUUGAACCCAAUUGAUCAUGUGAACACUCAGAACAAAAUCCAAACAAAAUCAAAUCUGUCUAAACUUUCCCAAUUAUGUUCAUUCUCCACCGUUUAAUUUUUUGUCCCUUUCGUCGGACUCCAUCAAAACCAAAACCUUUAAUCAUCUUCUUUGUCUAAAGCACUUCGUUUCUCGCCAGCUCGUGCUCCGUAAGAUUACAGUUCUUCGCAUCACAGUCGCUCAUCUAUCGCCGACGGGAUGAGCUCAGACCAGAUUGAAGUUCUUAAUCUUGCCAUAAGGUGAAGCUGCAGUGGUUUGGGCUUGGUAUCACCAUGGAUGAAAGCUCGAUCAGAUCUGCAAUAAGAAUGAUGAAUUUACAUAUUUGGUCCUUAUAUUUAUAUAAUUCUAUAUGACGUAUGAGGAUUCACGCCUGACUGCAUCACCUGAGCCGCCCUAUGGAAUUCACGCUUGACGGUAUUCUUUGUGAUAUGCUGCAGAUCUCUUGUAAGUUUUUUUGUUCUUUAAUUCGCAUAAUUCCGCUUUCUCUGGGAAUUGAAACUCAGACCUCAUGUUGUAGAAGCAUUAAUGAAUCCUUAGUCAAACCACUGGACCAAAGGGGCUUCCACAAUAUAUAUGUUUGUUUAGGAAGAAAAAAUAAAAACUAAGUGCUCAUUUAAUUAGGUGCAUUAACCAAUAUAAUCAGUGAUAUUCUAACAGUCAUACACAUAUUUAAAUAUUUAUAAAUAACUAAAUUAUAAUGUUUGAUUAAUGUUUUGCUUUCACUGAUUUAUAAAAUUUAAAAUGAUUAGUAAUUUAUAUCAUUAAAAAUUAAAAUAGAACUUUUGUUUAUAUUGUUAACUUAUUUUGAAAUAAAUUUUAGCCUUUUAGGUAUACGAAUUUAGAAAUUUUUUGAUUAUUUGCUUUAAUAUUAAUUAAUUGCAAAAAAUCAAUUACAUUGAAUUUACUGUUUUUUUUCUAAUUAUGCUAAAAUGUGAACAAUUUUGUUAGCUUCAUAUAGCUUGUUAUACUUUUGUAGGCAUUUUAUAUGAUUUUUAUAUGUUGUCCGAAAUUAAGAUUAGAAAAAAAUGAAAAAACUAAUUCUCUAAAUUUAAAAUUAAAUUUUAUUUUGAAAAUAGUAACUGUGUUAAGUUCAUAAACAUUUUGUAAAUAAAAAUCUCAAAUUACUAAAGAUAAUAUAAAAAUAAAUAAUAUAUUUUAUGUAUUUAUUAUAUACAUAUAUAUAUAUAAUUGAAAAUAUUUUAAAAAGUAAUUAAUUGUUAAACUAAUUCUUAUUAAUCUAGUAUACAUAUAUUAUUGACUUUUGAAAAAUUAAUUUAAGAAUGGUUCACAAAAACUUUCCAAAUAGCUUGGAAAAGAUAUAUAGAUAUAUUCCAUUUUUGAUAUUUUUGGAAAAAAUAAAAAAUAUUUAUAAAAACUAAAAAAUAAAUUUGGUUAUUGGAAAUUAUAUAUUAAUUUUAAUUUAUUAAAAAUAUCAUAAUAAUUGAUCAUCGUGAGAUUAACGUGAUACAUAUAUUACUAAUUAUUUUAAGUUUAUAAAUAAAAGGUAGGUCAACUAUUAUAAAUAUUAAAGACUAACUUGUAUUUCCGUAUCUAUGAUUGCUAGAAUAUUUAAAACGUUUCUCCCAGUUGCAAACAAACUACUCGGGAUGUCACAACAACUGUAGGAUCUGUUUCACCAUAAAGCCAUUUAGCGAUAUUUCAAGUUAUGAGCAACCAUUAAAGGCCCAUUUUUAGACUCAUCAGGUGGUUCCCGGAAAAUCAGUAUGAUGACUGGUCGAGUGAGGAAUAUUAUUUAUGCUGGGUCUUUUAAAUAUUUGAGUCGAGUUUUAUAUAAUGGGCCAACAUUUACUUGCUAUAUGUGCCAAGCUUUACAUAUAUUGCAUACAUUUGAUGUCGAGUAACAUUUGUUUUUUUUUUCUCUUUUCAAAAUAUAUUAAAGUAGGAAUUCAAUAAUUUUAUAUUUAACAUGCUAAGUAAACUCGUUUUUAAUGAAUACAAUAUUUAUGUGCAAUUAAUUAAAUUAAAUAACUCAUUAGAAAAAGUUGCUAAUACUAGUUUUAUUAUUUUUGAUGUAUUUUUUCUAAAUCCUCUACUAAAUGUACUACAUCUUAUAUAUUAAAACAGAAAUCACAACCUUGAUUCAUGUGUGAUUUUAAAAAAAUGGACCUAAUGAACAUAUUCCUACAAAGUCAUGUUACAUUUAAUCUCUAAUCUUAUCAUUUAAAUUUUGGGCCUACUAAAAAUUUUUAUUGGACUAUCAAUAAUUGGAUUUAAACAAUAGAUAAUUCAUUGGAUUUAUAGAUAGUAUAAAUUAAAUAGAUAUAAUUUAAUAUUAUAAUAUUAUACCUCCAUAAGUUAAUUAUAUAAAUAUUUGUCGAUGUUAAUUUUUAAAAUUAUAAAUAUUUUUUUUAAAUAACAAAAAUCAUAUUAUCUAACAAUGAUUAAUAUUUACUGCCUUAAAUCAAUGAAGACAAAUUAACUAUAUAGUUUAUUUUAAAAAUUAAACAAAAACUAAAUGUUUAAUUAUUUACUCGAUAAUAUAAAUCUAUGAAGCGAAAAGUUUAAUUUUUUUAAAAAUUUUUAAAUUUGUGAAAUAUUACAAUAUUUUUGACUAUGACAAUAAAAUAAUAUUUUACUAAUCUAUAUAUAUAUAUAUAUUUACGAUUUUAAUAAUGAAAUAAUAAUCCGAAAAUAUAUAUAUAGAAGAAGAUACAAAUACAUAUGAAAGUUUGAAAUAAUCUAUUCAAUGAAAAAUAUACUGUAUACUUAUUAUGUUUUAAGAAUUGAUAGACACAUAUAUAUUAUAAUAUAUACCAAUUUAGAAUUGAAAACAAAAUGUUUAUAUAAAUAUAAAUGAAAACAAAAAUAUGCGCGGUUACGCGGAUCGAAAUUUAAUCUAUUAUAUUAUAUUAAAAAAUCAUGACUUAUCAUUAAUGUGUGAUAUGAAAGUCAUUAAUUUAAAAUCAUAUCAUUUAAUUCUCAUUACUAACCGACAAACAUUUUAUCUAUUAUACUAAAUAAUAUUCUUUUCCCAUUAACCAUCCACUAACAUUUAACCAAACUGGUUCACUCUAAUGGGAACGAUUUACCACGUUCGUACGUUAUUAAACAAUUAUAAACAUAUAAACCAAGUAUAAAUAAUUAUAUAUGUUUAUAAACUAAAGUGUAAACAUGCAAGUCAUUAACCCUUUGUUCAUCAUCUGAACAAAACGGUAACUUUGGAAACGAUUAAUUAACGUACUUCUAUUUGUACACAAAACAGUUUAUAUUAUAUACCCAAUAUCAUAUACAACCUGUUUAUUUCUACUUAUACAUAUGACAAUGGCAAGUCAUUUUAUCUGUUCUUAUAAUAACUAUUUUAAGUACUCAAGAAACUUACAUGUUCCUGUAUAUUUGUACCAUAGUGUAUAUAUGUUAUGUUCAAAAUGAAAACCUAAAUAUAAAAUCAAACCAAACAGAUUAGAAUAGUAAAAAAUAAAAGGUUAGAUUAAAUAAUUUUUUAGAACAUUAAAAUAUCAAAAGAAACACCCAAAUUUGGUUAAGAAAUCACGCAAUAUUUGGUAUGUGUAUCACACAAUAUCAAUCUUACAUAACCUUUUCAAAAUCUUGAUCUCUCAUUUAAAACAUAUUCAACCAAAUCUAACCAAGAUAAAAUGAUAUUUCUUAAGAAAAUAUUGAUUCUCGAAUAAAUAAAUAAAACUAUCUUAUGUUCUUGACAUACCAAAAAAUCUUCAUUUUGUUCCUAUAUUUAAUUUUUUUUUUAAAUGAGAUACACGAAAUCAGUUUAGAUUUCCCAUAACAAAUUCAAAAAAUUUAGUCAUUUACAUAAAAAUACCCGUGAACCAGUAUCUUUAUAUAUAAAGUAGACUUUUUCUCUUCUUCCGACAAGUAGCAGGGGGGUUUGCUGCCACGUGUCAUUUUUUUGUCUUUUUACAUUUUAGAUCCUUCUUCUUUUAGAUUAUUGCAAUUUGGUUCACUAUUUUCUAAUUAUACAUUAUCUAAUCCGUCUCACACUAACCAUCAUCAUUUGAAUUUUGCUAAUAUAUUUUAAUCUAUUUUAUUGUUCAAAAAAUUGCAAAACGAAUAAAGAAAUAAGUAAAAAAUAUAAAUGUACUUUAAAUAUUUAAUUUAUUCGCAGCUAAAAAUAAGAUAAAUUUUCGUUAUUUUAUUAUUUUUUACUAUUUUCUAUUAUUUCAUUUACAACUAUAUAUUUAUCUUAAUAUUAACCAAACUAAAGCAGAACACAUAAUUUAAACAUAAAACCACCAUAAUCCCAGAGAAAAAAAAUGCCAAAGAAACACUAACUCAAUAAAGGUCCAGAGCUCAAAGGCGAUCAAGAACGAAAACUAACUUACCCCACUUUAUCAUAGAGUAUCUUGGCCAGAACAAUCAAAAGUCAGUAAAAUGUAGAAAUAUAAUCUUCAGAUAAAGCAAUCCCUCGAACACAAAUGAGCGUGAUCAAGGACCAAUGCAAAGAACCAAGAAAGCGGGUUAGAGUAAGAAUAAUCAACAGAAGGCCAAAAUCACCACGAAGCAGGAAGAGACAUACAUAACAAACGAUAAGCACAACCACCAGCUAAGAGGUAAGAAGCAUCUCACAAACUAAACAAGCACAAACAAGACGCCUAUGCCGGGGAAGAACCACAAAAUUCUGGAUAGAAGGGACCAAAGCUCCAAGAGUCUAAUAUCACACAUUUAUACUAAGGGAAGAAGAGAACAACAUGAGUGAGGGAGAAAUGAAGCCAACCCCCGAGAAACAUGAGUCCAGACUUGAGACCAGAAACAAUCUUCCAAAUCUACAGAGCAUACUCGGAGGAGAACACUAUCCAAACCUAGAGUGGCAAACAUGGCGAAAGAGAGAGAGAGUCACAGAGACGCAAGCAGGGUUGAAAGCUGCAACGAGAUGAAAGAACAUAGCUGGAAGGGUAGACAAAACGAAAUCAUCAAAUCGUGGAGCCGUCCUCGAGCUAUAGAAGUCAGAUCACCAAAAACCAUAUCUUGAAAACCAAGACGAGAGGGGAGUAACAAUGGUAAGCCAACGACGAGGAAAACAACUUCAAAGACGACUAAACUCUGACCCAACCCAAAGAGAUGCAGUUCCUAACAUCAGCUAAAAUCUAAGGAAGAAGAGGAGCAUCCAAUAUUGCAUGGAGUAGCCUAAAAUGAUGCGAGAAACAACCGCACAACUGGGAACUCCUAAACCCGAUCUACAAUAAAUACCAGAAAUCUCAAGGUGAAGAAGGCGAUAAAGAACAAGAGCAUGAGGUGAGUCUUUUUUGGUGAUGAUGAGAAACACCGCAUACCAGAAACGUAAAGAAAAUACAUAGAUGUUGAAGGCUCAAUGUAAAAAUAUGGGAAAAAAACGAAAACAUCUUGAAAGUUAUAAUGUUCAAAAACAUAAAAAAAAAUUAAAAGAAAAUUUUGACGCUGAAACCGUAAAUCUUAGAAUCAACAAAUGCAUAAAUGCAAAGUUAUUGAAAUUCAAUAUAUUUUUAUAUUAGAGGCUCACUUCACUGCUAACAAAUACUAUACAGACAAAACACAUUAUUAAAAAAACAAAGACAAAAUAUAUUAACAUAUCACUAUUACUACUACAUAACACAAUAAAAACACCAAAUAACAUUCUUAACAAAUAAAAGUGAUCACAUAAUUAUAUUAUCCAAAAAAUCAUACUUUUAACAACAAUAAAACAAUAUUCCGCGCGAAGCGCGGACACCCCCUAGUAUUCCAUAAUAAAACUAAUGAUUAACCAAUAAAAAGAGAUGCUGACAAAGAAAAAACCAAUAUAAAGAGAUCAAUAUUUUAAAAUACAAUAAAAUAUUUAUUCUGUUUACAUAUCUUUUAUAUAUUAAUACAUAAGUCACAACAUUGAUUCAUGUAUGAUUUUUUAAAAAUGGACCUAAUGAACCUAUUCCUAGAAAGUCAUGUUACAUUUAAUACUAGUGGCAUUCCGGCGCUACGCGCCGGUUUCGGACGUUUUGUUUGUUUGUAUAUUGGUUAGAUUUGUUUCGGUUGAUAGUGCUUAUUGUUAGUAUUGUAUUAUUUUGUUUAUAUCUGAAUAGUUGGAAGAGGAAUACCGUAUGUGAUUUACAUCGAGUAGCGUAAUAAGGAUAUAUUAGAUAGGAUAAAGAUGGAGAAUUGUAAAUAUAAUGUGAUGGAAAAGAUUGAGUAAAGGAAAUGUUUCAAAAUAAACAUGUAAAUUCAUGUGUUGUUUACUUAUUUUUUGAGCGGAUGUGGUCAACAAAUUCUUCCUUCCUCUUAAAGUAAUAAAAAUCUUCGCAUCCACUGUCCAUGUCAUGAUUGUCGAAAUUUGUCAGAGGCUCCAUUGAGUCUGUAUUUAUUAAAUAUUUGAUCUUCAAAACGACUCUGAUUUCUUUUAGAAUUCUUAACCAUAGUCAGGCAUUGAACAGUUCUAGCUUGAUUAGCUUUCCAGGAUAACCUAUCGAGUUUGCAUCUGCAGAUUGACGAAGAUGUUUGAGUCCUCUGAUGGAUCUGCACCGUGCUGGAAGUAUUGAAGCAACCCUUCAAUAUAGUGAGCUUUUGGAUUACCAGUAGACAAACAUUCAUUUCUAAAAGUUCUGAAACUACAUAGCAUCGCAAGUGGCUCUUCUACGAAUAAUUGGAGGUCGAGGUUCUUGAAAUAGGUGUUUGGGUCUGUGUUUGAGGGGUUUCCUUCACAACUACCGGUACUUUCGUCUGAGUUGUAAUUGGUUUCUGAAUUUGUCAACCCCAUUUUGUUUUUUCUUUUAACUGGUUUUUGAAUAUGGUGGAUGAAUUGUGUUAGUGAUUGGAGACUUGUAUACUGUGUGCAUAUUAGGUGUAUUAAUUUUAUGGAGACAGUUUUAUUUAA